AUACAUCUGAAGUGUUCGAGAAUAUUUACACUGUGUUGACCGAACAUUUUUUAAUUGGGAUCCUAUGAGCAGCUUUGUCUGACAAGCCAUCGCAUGUGGACGUCAUUAGAAGACUGUGUGGAGCCCACCUGAUUGCUAGCGGGUUCAACCUAGCUUUAUUGAUACGGCACGAUACGGAUGUAUU
rfam:Facklamia hominis CCTG 36813 genomic scaffold supercont1.1, whole genome shotgun sequence.